AAAUUGAAGAGUUUGAUCAUGGCUCAGAUUGAACGCUGGCGGCAGGCCUAACACAUGCAAGUCGAACGGUAACAGGAAGAAGCUUGCUUCUUUGCUGACGAGUGGCGGACGGGUGAGUAAUGUCUGGGAAACUGCCUGAUGGAGGGGGAUAACUACUGGAAACGGUAGCUAAUACCGCAUAACGUCGCAAGACCAAAGAGGGGGACCUUCGGGCCUCUUGCCAUCGGAUGUGCCCAGAUGGGAUUAGCUAGUAGGUGGGGUAAAGGCUCACCUAGGCGACGAUCCCUAGCUGGUCUGAGAGGAUGACCAGCCACACUGGAACUGAGACACGGUCCAGACUCCUACGGGAGGCAGCAGUGGGGAAUAUUGCACAAUGGGCGCAAGCCUGAUGCAGCCAUGCCGCGUGUAUGAAGAAGGCCUUCGGGUUGUAAAGUACUUUCAGCGGGGAGGAAGGGAGUAAAGUUAAUACCUUUGCUCAUUGACGUUACCCGCAGAAGAAGCACCGGCUAACUCCGUGCCAGCAGCCGCGGUAAUACGGAGGGUGCAAGCGUUAAUCGGAAUUACUGGGCGUAAAGCGCACGCAGGCGGUUUGUUAAGUCAGAUGUGAAAUCCCCGGGCUCAACCUGGGAACUGCAUCUGAUACUGGCAAGCUUGAGUC
rnacentral:rRNA from 1 species